rnacentral:rRNA from 1 species
GACGAACGCUGGCGGCGUGCUUAACACAUGCAAGUCGAACGGUGAACCAGAGCUUGCUCUGGGGAUCAGUGGCGAACGGGUGAGUAACACGUGGGCAACCUGCCCAGACUCUGGGAUAACCUCGGGAAACCGAUGCUAAUACCGGAUACGACCACUUCGGACAUCCGACGGUGGUGGAAAGUUUUUCGGUCUGGGAUGGGCCCGCGGCCUAUCAGCUAGUUGGUGGGGUAAUGGCCUACCAAGGCGACGACGGGUAGCCGGCCUGAGAGGGCGACCGGCCACACUGGAACUGAGACACGGUCCAGACUCCUACGGGAGGCAGCAGUGGGGAAUAUUGCACAAUGGGCGAAAGCCUGAUGCAGCGACGCCGCGUGAGGGACGACGGCCUCGGUUGUAACGUCUUCUAGCAGGACGAAG